rnacentral:rRNA from 1 species
GACGAACGCUGGCGGCGUGCCUAACACAUGCAAGUCGAGCGAAGUGAUCUCGAAUGAAGUUUUCGGACGGAAUUCCUGAUCAUCUUAGCGGCGGACGGGUGAGUAACGCGUGAGAAACCUGCCUUUCACAAAGGGAUAGCCUCGGGAAACUGGGAUUAAUACCUUAUGACACUUUAACCUCGCAUGGGGAAUAAGUUAAAGCGUAAAGCGGUGGAAGAUGGUCUCGCGUCCUAUUAGCUAGUUGGUGAGGUAACGGCUCACCAAGGCGACGAUAGGUAGCCGGCCUGAGAGGGUGAACGGCCACACUGGAACUGAGACACGGUCCAGACUCCUACGGGAGGCAGCAGUGGGGAAUAUUGCACAAUGGAGGAAACUCUGAUGCAGCGACGCCGCGUGAAUGAUGAAGGCCUUCGGGUCGUAAAAUUCUGUCCUUGGGGAAGAUAAUGACGGUACCCAAGGAGGAAGCCCCGGCUAACUACGUGCCAGCAGCCGCGGUAAUACGUAGGGGGCGAGCGUUGUCCGGAAUUAUUGGGCGUAAAGGGUUCGCAGGCGGUCUGAUAAGUCAGAUGUGAAAGGCAAUGGCUCAACCAUUGUAAGCAUUUGAAACUGUCAGACUUGAGUUAAGGAGAGGAAAGUGGAAUUCCUAGUGUAGCGGUGAAAUGCGUAGAUAUUAGGAGGAAUACCAGUGGCGAAGGCGACUUUCUGGACUUAUACUGACGCUGAGGAACGAAAGCGUGGGGAGCAAACA